CGUUCAGGGACUCCAUCAUUCCACGGUCUCCACUGUCCACUUCAGAUGGAGCCUGGGAACUGUGAUGUCACAGCCCACGAUCCAGCUGGAACAUCCAGUGCCCAGCAAAGGGCAAAACACAACUGUUGUUCGUUGUGUUCACAUGCUCUUCACCCUGCUCCUGCCCACUCUGCUUUUCACCUGCCCCCUGAUAACCCAUUCAGUCCUGAAAGGUCCUUAGUGCCUGGAUUUUGUUAUCCAGCCCUGCAGGAUGCUUCUCUUUGUUCUGAGGAAGGCUGUCCCAGAUGGAGAAGAGGAGAUGGAGGUGGAUAUAGAGAUUGAUAGAGAGGAGGACAUGGAGACGGAGGGAGAAGACACUGGGGAGGAGGAGAUGGAGGUGGAGGUGGAGGUGAAGGAGGAAGAGGAGAUGGAAUUGGAUAUGGAAGAGUCCAUUGAGGACAUGGACAUUGAUUAAAAGGGUGCGAUGGACAUCAUGGAGAGAGAUGCCACCAUUUUCUACACACGUUUUACACUUUGAUGUUGUCUUUAGGAUAUAGGUUUUAGGGCUUUUUGUCUUCUGUAAAUACGUUUCAUAUAUUUUUUGUUAGAUAGGUUUUUCUGUAUAUAUGUUCUAUCGAUUGUUGUUGUUACAAAUAUUCUUACAAUGUAAAUAUGUUCUGU